UCUGAUCUGGCAGCGUUCUUGAAAACGACAGACCCUAAUAUAGCGGACAUUAUCUCUAGUGAUGUCAGUGAAAAACAUGCAGGCACUAAUGAGCCUACUGAGUUGUGAGCAACGUUAUUUCGUCCUUGACUCUAGUAUGAUUUCUCGCAAGAACAAAGAUUUACAAUUGUGAAGGUAAAUUGAAGUACCUAUUGUAUAAUGGCCUCUGGCAUAAUUAUUAGCCGCAUCUUCCUUCCCGGUAAUCAUUUGUUCCGGAUGGAAUAAUUGUCUGACACUUGCCUACUACCGUUGGCUCGAGAUCGACCAAAACCGCUCGUGGGACAUGCUUCCCCGAACCAGUCUCGGAAA